rnacentral:lncRNA from 1 species
GGAGUGGAGAACACAAUUUAAUGCAUAACAGCUCUUUUCAUCUCUCAGCAAACUAGGUCUCAGGUCUGAAGUCCACUGCGGUCAGCCUUCCCUGGUGGUGAGCUGCUGUCAGAACCUCCCCACUACUCCUCUGGGUGGCCCCAGUCUUGUGCCUAUUUCCCUCUCGUGGUCAUCAAGUCUCGCCCAGAUGGAGUCUCAGUUUUAUAAGGGGGAGUUUCCCUGCACAAGCUCUCUCUCUUUGUCUGCUGCCAUUCAUGUAAAAUGUGACUUGCUCCUCCUUGCCUUCCGUCAUGAUUGUGAUGCCUCCCAGCCAUGUGGAAAUAGAAUUCCAAAAUUGUACGAGCUUCAGGCCCCACAAAACCUGGAUCCACCCUCAGAUUUCAUUUAUCUCGCUUCGUGGUGACAAAUGAACCUGCUGUUCUUGUCACUCCCCGGGUCCGACUGUACUCCCAAAUCUGUCAAGCGAAAAGUUUCAGAAAUGUUCGUUAUGACUCCUUGGAUAUUCUUAACUAAUAGGGCCUCUGUGAGAUCUGUACUACUAAGAAGUUUCACAAGUAAUUCUAAUAUUCAGCCUGGGUUGAAAACCGCCAUCCACCAUCCACGGAUGCUGUGCUUAGGGCCCGUGCUUCUCAGAUGGUGGGCCAUCACUCAUUCUGAGUUGUGAAAUCAUCUUAACAGGUCCCAAUUAGCAUUGUUUUAAUAGAAUGGAAUAUGUUACCUUGCAUCAUAAGGUUGGUGUGUUCGUCCCACUUUUGUUUCAAUAUCUACAAUAUAUAUAACUUAUACAUUGCCUUGGGUAGCGCAAUUCUGAAUCCUGUGGU